rnacentral:lncRNA from 1 species
UUUUUUUUUUUCCCCCCGCUUUGGUGAACUCGCAGUACUUGGGCUGAGCCCGAAAUCUCGCGAGAUGCUGCAGGCGUCAGUGCGGCUUCCCACUAGGCGCGUGGUACCCGAGGCCGGGCCGGAGCCGCAGGCCAGCCGCGAUUCCUUCGGGCGAUGCUGGGGGCUUUCCGGUCGGGGCCGCAGCCGCUUCCGGAGCCGCGGGCGAGGUGCAAGCGGUCUUCUCUGUCUUCUUUAUGGCCAGUAAAAUUCUCCAGAAGAGAUUUAUGGCAGCCUCACUCCCAGUAGUUUCUGCAUUUAGUGAGAUAAGAUGGAAUCUUGCUCUCUUGCUCAGACUGGAGUGCAGUGGCAUGACCUUGGCUCACUGCAACCUCACCUCUCGGGUUCAAGCGAUUCUGCCUCAGCCUCUCGAGUAGCUGGGACUACAGGUGGGAGACCUCCACAGAACCCUUCCAGCAAGCUGUCUUCUAAAGCAAACAAGAAAAGGAAAGUCUGAGCAGUUUUGAUUAGAUUUCCCAGAAGUCAAAGCAAGGAAAAAUGAAAAAGCUUCAUUUCUCACGUUCUUAAAAGAGAGCACAGAUGUUGCAUCAUCUGGUUAGAUACCCUGAGAAUAAAAUCUGGAUCCAGUGAGAGGAAAGAUUCUGGGUGCUCAUGAAAAAAGAAACAAAACAAAACUUGGGAGCCUCUUGAGAGUGUACAGCAUCAGCCCUUGCCAACUCUUGUUUAUAUGCAUUUAACUUUCAGUUAACCAUGGGAAUAAUUCAUGAAAAUCCAAUCUACAAACAAAGGCCAUCCUAACGUUCAUGUUAUUCUUUUCCCUAAGAAUCUUUCACAAGAGCUAUAAUCAAGUAGAAUUAUGCUUUGAUUUGAAUUCUAAUUCAAUUGAAAAUAAAAAAUGAGGGCCGGACGCGGUGGCUCAUGCCUGUAAUCCCAGCGCUUUGGGAGGCUGAGGUGGACGGAUCACGAGGUCAGGAGAUCGAGACCAUCCUGGCUAACACGGUGAAACCCGAUCCCUACUAAAAAUACAAAAAAUUAGCCGGGCGUGGUGGCAGGCGCCUGUAGUCCCAGCUACUCGGGAGGCUGAGGCAGGAGAAUGGCGUGAACCCAGGAGGCAGAGGUUGCAGUGAGCCGAGAUCAUGCUACUGCACUCCAGCCUGGGCGACAGAGCGAGACUCUGUGUAUAAAUAAAUAAAUAAAUAAAUAAAUAAC